rnacentral:rRNA from 1 species
UAAAGAGUUCUAUAACUCCCAAACCCAUGUGAACAUACCUAACGUUGCCUCGGCAGGUCGCACCUACCUUGUAGCACCCUACCCUGUAGGGCCUACCCGGGAGGUGCGGGUAAGCCUGCCGGCGGCCCACCAAACUCUGUUUGAUAUUGAAUUCUGAACCUAUAACUAAAUAAGUUAAAACUUUCAACAACGGAUCUCUUGGUUCUGGCAUCGAUGAAGAACGCAGCGAAAUGCGAUAAGUAAUGUGAAUUGCAGAAUUCAGUGAAUCAUCGAAUCUUUGAACGCAUAUUGCGCCCAUUAGUAUUCUAGUGGGCAGGACCGUUCGAGCGUCAUUUCAACCCUUAAGCCUUCGUUGCUUAGUGUUGGGAGCCUACGGCAACGUAGCUCCUCAAAGUUAGUGGCGGAGUUGGUUCACACUCUAGACGUAGUAAUUUUUUAUCUCGCCUAUUAGUUGGACUAAUCCCCUGCCGUAAAACCCCCAAUUUAUCAAGGUUGACCUCGAAUCGGUUCAGACAAACUCGCUAAAUUGAAGCAUCUUAGUCAGCGAAGGAAAAGAAA